rnacentral:tRNA from 1 species
GGGCGAUUAGCUCAGUUGGCAGAGCGCCUGCUUUACACGCAGGUGGCCGGCGGUUCGAGCCCGUCAUCGCCCA